AAUCGGGACAAUCGGACAGUUCCAACCAGCAGGGGGACGUGGACGUYAAACCGCUGCCCAAUGGCCACCUGGCCUUCCAGGACUGCUUUGUCACCUCGGGCGUCUGGAACGCCACCGAGCUGGUGAGGGUGUCACAGACGCCUGUGGCCCCCCCCGCGGGCGGGGGCUUCUCGCUGGCCGAGCUCGAGGGUCCCGGCGGCUUCUACGGGGGCCUCGCG